GUUAUCCGGAUUUAUUGGGUUUAAAGGGUGCGUAGGUGGUUUGAUAAGUCAGCGGUGAAAGUUUGCAGCUUAACUGUAAAAAUGCCGUUGAAACUGUCGGACUUGAGUGUAAAUGAGGUAGGCGGAAUGCGUGGUGUAGCGGUGAAAUGCAUAGAUAUCACGCAGAACUCCGAUUGCGAAGGCAGCUUACUAAGCUACAACUGACACUGAAGCACGAAAGCGUGGGGAUCAAACAGGAUUAGAUACCCUGGUAUGCCACGCAGUAAACGAUGAUUACUAGCUGUUUGCGAUACACAGUAAGCGGCACAGCGAAAGCGUUG
rnacentral:rRNA from 1 species